UACGUAGGGGGCAAGCGUUGUCCGGAAUCAUUGGGCGUAAAGAGCGUGUAGGCGGCCCGAUAAGUCCGCCGUGAAAGUCCAGGGCUCAACCCUGGAAUGCCGGUGGAAACUGUCGGGCUAGAGUCCGGAAGAGGCGAGUGGAAUUCCUGGUGUAGCGGUGAAAUGCGCAGAUAUCAGGAGGAACACCAAUGGCGAAGGCAGCUCGCUGGGACGGUACUGACGCUGAGGCGCGAAAGCGUGGGGAGCAAACAGG
rnacentral:rRNA from 1 species